ACGGAAGGCAGCAGUGGGGGAUAUUGCACAAUGGGGGAAACCCUGGUGCAGCGACGCCGCGUGAGCGAAGAAGUAUUUCGGUAUGUAAAGCUCUAUCAGCAGGGAAGAAAAUGACGGUACCUGACUAAGAAGCUCCGGCUAAAUACGUGCCAGCAGCCGCGGUAAUACGUAUGGAGCAAGCGUUAUCCGGAUUUACUGGGUGUAAAGGGAGCGUAGACGGUUUGCCAAGUCUGAUGUGAAAGGUGGGGGCUCAACCCCCAAACUGCAUUGGAAACUGGUAGACUAGAGUGUCGGAGAGGUAAGUGGAAUUCCUAGUGUAGCGGUGAAAUGCGUAGAUAUUAGGAGGAACACCAGUGGCGAAGGCGGCUUACUGGACGAUAACUGACGUUGAGGCUCGAAAGCGUGGGGAGCAAACAGGAUUAGAUACCCUGGUA
rnacentral:rRNA from 1 species